rnacentral:tRNA from 1 species
GGUUGUGGCUCAGUGGUACAGUGCUUGCCUAGCAUGCAUGAGGCACUGGGUUCAAUCUCCAGCACCA